GCCCAACAGACACCAAGGAGCAGCUGUAUGACCCUGCCUCCGUCAUGAACGGAGACACUCUGAGGUUCUGUCAGAAGGAAGCCUGGUGCAAGAUGGCCUUCUUCAUCCUCUCCUUCUUCUACUAUCUCUACUGUGUGUACUGGACCUGACUUCGCCCCAUCACAGGCUGCAGUAUAUGGUCUACUCCCUGGUCACCUCAUAGCCAAGACCUCGCCUGACGCCAUUCCUCUGGAUAACACACCUCCUAACCGCAGCAGUGACCCCAGCAGAGCCACACCAGAACCUUCAGAUCCCAGCUGUGUUUCACCCAGGAGAUGACGUCUCAGAGCAUGAGGGAGGGUCAUUUGAUCCAGCCUCCUCCUCUCUCCUGUGUUCAUGUAUGUAAAGACUACCAAGAGACUACUGUUUACAGUCAGGUCUGAUCGACCGUGUUACCUUCUUCUACAUCAUCACUGCCUGGCCAAUGUUUGUACUCCAGCACCCACAGUCUAUGUCCCUGGACCUAGCCUAGCUUAGCCCAGUUUCAACAGACCCAGAGUCUGUCAAUGUCCCUGGGUCUAAUCUAGCCUAGUUUAUCAAAGGCAGACUCACGUUUUGUCUGUUCCUAGACAGCCUAGCAUAGCCACAACGAGUCGUGUCCCUUGCCUAAACUAGCAUAGCCUAGCAUAGCCACAACCAGUCGUGUCUCUAGCCUAAACUAGCAUAACCUAGCAUAGCCACAUCCAGUCGUGUCCCUUUCCCUUGCCUAAACUAGCAUAGCCUAGCAUAGUCAUAACCAGUCAUGUCCCUUGCCUAAACUAGCAUAGCCUAGCAUAUUCAUAACCAGUCGUGUCCCUUGCCUAAACUAGCAUAGCCUAGCAUAGCCAUACUCACAGUCUAUGUCCCUAGGCCUAGCAUUGCCACAGUCUGUCCCUGAGCCUAGUGCUAGCUUAUCUUGACGAAGCAAAGGCAUCGUAGCAUCACCGCAACCGUAGGAAGCACACACACACAUACACACACACACUGUAGUGUUUGCACAGUUUGACUCAGGCACAGCACUGUCGUCACACUACAGGACCACGAAGAGACCUGCUCUGUGUCACCGCUAGUAGCGUCACCGGUGACACCACUGCUUACUGUAGCAGGAGCCAAGUAAAGACCUCUUACAUAGAUGGACUGUGGUCAGCGAAUGUUGCAUUUUUACCAGACAGCACAUACAAUACAAGCCCUGUCUGAAAUUACAUGAAUGGCUUAUUGUGAUGUGUGCUUUUUUUGUGUAUUCUUAAAAGAGGCAUUUCUUACUGAGAUACGAUCUUAAAGUAUUAUUAUACUGUGUGAUUAUCUGUAGUUCUAGUGUUAUUUGGUGGAGAAAUAAUUUUCUAAAAAUGAAUUUAAAAAUAGAAGCUUUUUUUGUUGAGUACUUCUAGACAAGCACUAAUCUUUUGCACAAUGGUGUCUGUACGUAUGCACAAUAUCUGCAAUAUCUGUGUUUAAAGACGCUAAUCAGCCCAGUUGGGUGGAGGUCUUCCAACUUGAAUAAGGGUUCAAAUGGACCUUAUUGUAGAUGGGAGGGGAAAUAAUGUGAAAUGUUCAUGUUACUGUUUCCACAAUGGACCAAAUGUAUUUAUUAGCUUUUUGCAAAAUCCACUGAAUUUAUAUCCAUGUUUGUUUAUUUUGAAAAGCAGUACACAAUUUAAAAAAAAAUACUAAUCUAUCAAUUGUUGCAUUCCUACUAAACGACUGGUCAAAUGGACACCUGAUUAUGACCAUUUGAUUGCUUUUCUCUCUUCCCCCUGCUUUUUCUGUUGCUCCUUGUCUGUG